CGGGCCUAUAGCUCAUUCGGUUAGAGCAACUGACCAUAAUCAGUAGGUGCUUGGUUUCGAUUCCAAGUGGCUCAC
rnacentral:tRNA from 1 species